GUCAGGAUGGCCGAGUGGUCUAAGGCACUAGACUCAAACUCUGAAUAGAGGCGUGGGUUCAAAUCCCACUUUUGACA